UGCUUUCAUUUCACAGAAGCCCAAAAGCCU
rnacentral:piRNA from 1 species